rnacentral:rRNA from 1 species
UACAGAGGUCCCGAGCGUUGUUCGGAUUCAUUGGGCGUAAAGGGUGCGUAGGCGGCAUGGCAAGUCGGGUGUGAAAUCCCGGGGCUCAACCCCGGAACUGCACUCGAUACUGCCGUGCUUGAGUGUUGGAGAGGAGACUGGAAUUUACGGUGUAGCAGUGAAAUGCGUAGAUAUCGUAAGGAAGACCGGUGGCGAAGGCUAGUCUCUGGACAACUACUGACGCUGAGGCACGAAGGCCAGGGGAGCAAACGGG